CCCCAAGGCCUCAAUCAGCCUCUCUCUAUAACGUAAACUCGCCUCAGUCUUUAGACUAACCAUUCAGAUCCCUCACUUCAGGAUGUCACAUCGCGCUCCUAUCAGCCAACCCUUACCACAAAUCAUACGCCACCACGUUACGCAUAAAUACAUCAACAUCUGUCUUAAUCCUUAGGCUUCUUCUACGAGGACAGCAGCAGCCAAGACUCGCUACAUAUAAACAUUCGAAGGUUCCAGCUCU